CCUACGGGAGGCAGCAGUGGGGAAUAUUGGACAAUGGGCGAAAGCCUGAUCCAGCAAUUCCGCGUGUGUGAAGAAGGCCUUCGGGUUGUAAAGCACUUUAGUGGGGGAAGAAACAGCUUGGCCACACCAAGCCUUGACGGUACCCCAAGAAUAAGCACCGGCUAACUCUGUGCCAGCAGCCGCGGUAAUACAGAGGGUGCAAGCGUUAAUCGGAUUUACUGGGCGUAAAGGGUGCGUAGGUGGCUAUUUAAGUCGGAUGUGAAAGCCCGGGGCUCAACCUCGGAAUUGCAUUCGAUACUGAGUGGCUAGAGUUCGGUAGAGGGCGGCGGAAUUUCCGGUGUAGCGGUGAAAUGCGUAGAUAUCGGAAGGAACAUCAAUGGCGAAGGCAGCCGCCUGGGCCUGGACUGACACUGAGGCACGAAAGCGUGGGUAGCAAACAGGAUUAGAUACCCUGGUAGUCCACGCCGUAAACGAUGAGAACUUGACGUUGGUUCGUUUUACGAAUCGGUGUCGCNGCUACGCGAUAGUUACUCCGCCGUGGGAGGUACGGCCGCCGAGGUUAGGUAACGUAACGUAAGUAGUUAAGUUAGUACGGUUCGUUGAGACGUUGCCGACGGACGACGACGAGGGAGGAGG
rnacentral:rRNA from 1 species